GUGAAAUGAUGAUUCAGUUUAUCCAUUCGCUGAGUGCGCUGCGCUGACCUUCUUCCAAGCCUGGGUUCCUGUUCUAGGAACUCUGGGUUACGUGGUUGCCAAAUGCCCUGCAGUCUGCUGUGUUCUACUGUGGACGGCUUGUGUGUUGGUGGACUACUGGUAAGAAUGGCUGGUGUCAGCAGGGAUGGGUCCCUGUGGGCUCAUCUCGCCAAGAUGAGUGGUGGAAAUCUGAUCAC
ensembl:snoRNA SNORD17 small nucleolar RNA, C/D box 17